UUUCCGUAGGUGAACCUGCGGAAGGAUCAUUAAUGAGUUGUCAUGGGGUUCGAUGCUGGCAGCCAAUUUUUGGAUGCAUGUGCUUGCCCUAACAAUCAUCUUCCUAACACCUGUGCACAUUUUUGAGGGAGUCUUGAGUUGGUUGCCGCUCUUGGGUGAUUUUCUCACAUUCCCUUAAAUCAUUAUACGCUAUUAACAAUGUUGAACGUGCUCUGUGCCGCAAGGCUAUUAAUAUAAUACAACUUUUAACAACGGAUCUCUUGGCUCUC
rnacentral:misc_RNA from 1 species